CUCUCUUUUCGCUCCUGUUACCGAUGUCCAGAGGACGCCCGAUCCUCUCCCCUUUCAGCAAUAAUGACAUAUCCAAAUUGUUUUUAUAAAUUUAUUUACUUUGGGUUUACAUCUGCGGAAGAAAUACCUCCAGAUGAUAUGCUGAUGCUGAAUAUAUUCUCGUGUUCUCAAUAAAUUUAUUUGGCUAAUUUUUUUUCUCAUUCGAUAUUUUUUUAUUCAGGGAACGGGAAUUGCAGAGAAUUUUUGAGGGAUGACAGGGUGUGGGCAGCUCGGAGGAAUCGCCAAUUUGCGAGAUGCAAUCAGUGACAAAGUGGGAUAAAUUUUAUAGUUCUGUUAAAUGGAGUAAUUUUAAUGGAUUGGUGUUUAAUAUUUUAUUUAUCGAGUUAUCACCUUCGUGAUAUUACAAGAAACAAAAUUUGGUGUAAACUGGGUACACCCCAGAACAGUGAGAAAUUAUAACAGAACUAAACAAGUCAAGUAAUUUAGCAUUUCCAAAUGCUUAAACACAACGAAAAAUAUUUUGAUCUCCACUGCGCGUUGUUUGCAAUUCUCCUACGAAAUUGAAUAAUUUCAUUAUUCCAGAAGAUUUUUAGAAAAACAAGUUCAAUUUUUAUAUUGAAACUAUAGUCUUACAUUUUUUUCACCAGGAAAAAAUUGUCAGUGUAUUAUGUACGAACUGUUUAACUCUGUGAAAUCGAUUUUCACACUUUCUUUCAUAGUCGUCAAAUUUUUACAAACUCCAUAGAUUUUUUGUUGAUGCCAUAUAUUCAAGAGAAGUGAGAAAAUUCAUGUCAGAAAAUAAAUCUAGAUUGUCAACUCCAAUCCUUUAAAAUGAAAAUUCUUAUGUUAUUAGAUUGUAAAUUAUCUGUUUCAGCAACAGAUGAACGCUAUAAAAAGAACAUAAAUAAAAAGUCAUCAUUUUGUCAAGAGUAAAUGAUUAAUGUGAAUAGUGAAUUCUUCAGUCUUUCUUAAUAAACUUUGGUCCAUAA